rnacentral:misc_RNA from 1 species
GCUUAUAUAUAUAUAUAUGAGAAAGCCAAUUUUAUAAAGCUUAAGAAACAGGCAAAUCACUCUAGUACAAAGAGAGUAGCUGGGGCGGGAGAACAUCAUGAACAAAGAGAUCAACAUCCUGUCUAGAGCAAACUAAGCAAUGCCAUGAGCAAAAGCAUUUCCAUCUCGAUAAGAGAAUGAGAAGCUGCACAAAGGAAUGAGCUCGCUGAACACAAUCCUCAGCUAUCUGGAGAAAAGGGGCGUGACCUAGCUGUUGGCGGAGGAGAGCACUAUGAAGUGUCUUUGAACCCGUUUCAGCAACAAUCCUUUGGAAACCAUUCUGCAGAGCAAAAUCAAGACCAAAAACACGACGCAAUGAAUUCUGCCAUCUCCACACUCUGCACACUUGAAAAUUGCUUUGAGCAAGCAGCAAUAAGCACCCCCUCCACAUUCCGGACAGCAACACCAGCACCCAUUUGCCCGGCAGAAGAAAUGAAAGCUGCAUCCACAUCAACGUAACAAGCCAUCUGCGGGCGGCACCCAACGACACUCCCUUGCGCCAUCUGAUACCAGGGACAUCUGAAAGGCUGCAUUACCACCCAUCUCCGCAUAGAAAGCAUUGAAAUCUGCAAUUACUAAGGCAAGCUCGCGGUGCUCUUGCUGCAUCACCAAUUUAUUUCGCCCUCGCCAAAGCACCCAUAGAAGAACUACCAUUCGAACCACAGAUUCCCUAUCAGCAACUUGUACUAGCCAGCAAAACCAUCGCCCCAGCGAAGUUUCAUCAAAAUCAUCAAUCCUGACACCCCAAAUUGUCAACCAUAAGCCUCUAGCCCAAGCACAAUCACGAAUCGCAUGAAGCAGAGUUUCCGCAUCAGCAUCACACCGCAAGCAUUCAGAAGAAGAAACACCCUUCUCACACAGAUGACUAUGAUGGUAAAUCAUGUUAUUUGAGCUUUUAGUCCUUCCAUGUAAAUAUUAUUUUGAUUGUGUAGAAGGGGAAAAAAUUUUCAUCAACUUUACAUUUACAGUGUAUGCUUACAGUGUAUGCCAUACUUUAAUCUUUAUGUAAAUUUUAUUUUCCAAGAUAUAAUGUUGGAAAUAGGAUACUCACAAGCCUGCUCCAAAAUAAAUCUAGUGUUCUGAAAUAUUUGUAUGCAUACAGAACUGUUUUUCUAAAUCUAGUGUUCUGAGUCAUAGCAUAAUUUUUCUGAGUCACACCAGAAAGAAUGAAUCUAAGAACUUGUAGGAAUAAUAAAAAGUUUUACGAGCCACAAAACAGCAAUGCAUAUGUAAACUAACUUAAGUCUAAAACAUUUGAAUUUUUCAACUUGAACUAACAAUAACGGAGUACUCUCAUAUCACUUGUAAUGCCAGCAAAACUCAUGAGGCUAAAGAAACCAAAAUAACUGAAGCAAACAUAAUAGGAUCUAAUUCAUCCUCCUAAUGAGCUCGUUGAUGUAAUCCUCGCGAUUUCCAGCAUCACCACCCUCCACAUAAUGGUUUCUCUUCUUCUUCAAACCUCCAGAUGGUGCACUCAGUUUAAAUGGCCAUAGAAAGUUAUUUGCCUCCUUGAAAUGAGGCCCCACAGUCAUGAUCUCAUGAAUCAAAUCUUCCAUGCAAAUAAUUCCAAAAUUUCCCAAAGCCUGUUCAAUGAUGGAAUUAUCAGUGAGAGCAAUCCUCUGCUUGUUCAGCUUUCCAUAACCCCUCUUAUAGAUCAACUCCCGCACACUUUUAAGAUUAGGAUAUCCAUACGUCACAUAUGGCUCAACCUUAUGCAGCAUGUUCAUGGUUGCUUUAUUCACUUUGAGAAACACGCCAUUAAAAAUCUGCCUCAGACGCAGAAGCUGCAAAAUUUUUCUCGUCUUUGGAUCCAUUGCAUUGAUGCCACGGAUACGAAUGAUGAAAAGUAGUUUUGCCUCUGGUUCAACAUAAAAACCUCCUUUCAGUUUGGCCUCUCUUUUCAAUCUUAUCAACUCUCUUUCCUUUUCUGUGUAUUCUUUGCCAUAUUGCUCAGCCCUCUUGAAGAUUAUCUUUCUAUUUUCAGCAUUUUUUUCCUUCUUUAUCUUCAGUUCUUGGUUCUUCAACAAAGCCCAUUCCUCAUUUCUCUUCUGUUUCUUUAACACAGAUUCAGGGACAAAAGCUGCUGUCUUAGUUUCUUCAGCCAUUUCUAAUCAAAAUGACCCAAGCUAACAGAAUUAAAACCAAGAAAAAAAUAAGCUAGAACUCAACACUUCAAAGGCUUAGAUGACAAUUGACUGAUCUUCUAAAAACAAGUGACCAUCAAUCAAAAAACUGCUCGAGACCAUAGACAGUGCAAACUUUUUCAAUUAGUAACGUAAAACAGGCAUAAGUUAUAGAAGCAUGAUUCAUUCAUGCAACAUAAUCCAUAUAGCAAACACUUAAGUCUGUUGAUCUCAUAAACUCAAAAGCAAGUCUCCCAACAAAAAAUCAGGAAAAAUUACCAUUUCCUUUUUGCUAAAUAAGUCAUUAGCAAACUACAAAGAGAUCAGUUUAGUAAACUAAUUGGCCACAUAAUUUUCAAAAAAAAAAAGAUUCAUUUUUUUUGUUUAUCAAAACCACUAACUUCAAACAUAAGACCCUAACACUUCGUUUGGAAGAAUUGUGAGAAAUUAAGGCAAGUUAAAGUAAUGGAAGGUAAAAUAAGGUUGUUUUAAUAUUAGUUGUUUGGGAGGAAGGGAAGAUAAAUGAUGGUCUCCUAUCCUUUUAUUGUUUGGAUCAAAAGCAUGGGAAGAUAAAAGGAUUGGUAAUAACUAAUAUUU